rnacentral:lncRNA from 1 species
AGCUUUGUGCAAAAAAUUAAAAUUUUUAAUUUUAUUUUAUUUAAAAUAUAAAAAUAAAAUUUUUUUCUAAAUUUUUGUAGAAUGUGAUUGUGUGUGUUAACUUAAUAAGUUUUAAUCAAUUAUAAUUAUUAAAUUUAAUAAAAAAAAAUUGAGAGAAUCGUUCAUAUUUUUAAAGUUUGAUUUACAUAUUAAAAUUAAAUAAGUUGAAAAUUUUAAAUGUGUCCAUUAAUAAAUUGAAGAAUUAUUGAAAAAUAUAAAAAUAUUAUAUAUAUCUAUUUGUUUAUUUAUAAAUAGUAAAUUUAAAUGAUUAAUAAAAUUAUACAAUUAUUUUAUGCAUAGUGAAAGUAAUCUCAUCACUCUAUCUGAAGAGGAGACAAAAUUCACAAAUACAAUUAUCAGCUUCAUGUUACCAAGCGAAAAAAAUGUAACUGCAGCAGUUGCAACUGCAUAAAAUCAAAUACUGUAUAAAACCAAACAGACUAGGUGUAGUUACAACUAUAGCAUUUGCAACUGCAUGUAUUUUCAACUACACUAUUUCUGCAACUACAUCCAACCAAACAGUCCCUAAACGGAGUUGUUACCUACUCUUCUAUUAAAUAUUUAAUUUUUGAGCUUCAUGGUACCGUACAAGGCCGGAUUACGGAGGAGAUGGAUUCUCUUUCACUCGCGAUCUUGGAUAUUCCCUAUUUAUUCCUAAUUUCUCUUCACCAAAUUAAUUAAUUAAUUAAUUCGCUUUAAAAUAGAACUAUUAGUCCUUUAUUGCGUCAACAAACUAGAUAUUAUUAUCAUAUAUUUUGUCCUUAAAUUGUGCGAAAAAACUGAAUGCAUUUUUAUGACUAGGCUCCCAAAAAACCUCAACAUAAUAUAUCUACGGGUAAACUUCAAAUACUACCGCUGUGAUUUUGCACUUUCUCACUUUAGUGCCCUAUGAUUUAAAGUGUAUCAAGUUAGUGUCUUGUGGUUUUAUUUUUAUCUCUUCGUCAGUUUUUUUGUUAAUAUUUUGUUAAAUUAUAUAUAAAAAACUUCAGAUAUUCUACCUAGGUUUAUCGAAUAUUGACUUUAGUACCUUUUAGUUUUAACUUUAUAACUGAUUUAAUAAAAAAAAUUAGUAAAAUCGAUAAUAAAAAAAUAUAAAUAAAAUCACGGGACAUUAAAUUGAUACACUCUAAAUCAUAGGGUGCUAUAAUGAGAAAGUGUGAAACCACAUAGGUGGUAUUUGAAGUUUUUCCUAUAUCUAAUACUACGUGAGCAUAUAUAAUAAUUGUGUAGAGGUACUAUAUUAUUGAAAGUAUAGAGCAUAUAUAAUAAUUGUGUAGAGGUGCUAUAUUAUUGAAAGUAUAGAGCAUCUGAUACUUCUGACUUUUCAGUCCUUAUAUUAAUUGCUUUAAUUAUUUUUAAUGUUUGGAUUAAUAUUAUUAUUUUAUGGGGAUCACUCAACUCUAGAGGGAUUAUAAUCAUCUCUACAAUAUAAUUCUUGAUCGAAGAGUCAUAAUAUAGUAGAUUUACACAAUUACUAUAUAU